UGGACAAGUUUGGGAGACUCGGACACCUGUGGCCUAGAGCAGCGGGAGACGCACACUUGCUGCUCACCUCCAGUAGGGGAGGAAGUGCAAUAAACCACUGCCCAGCAGGACUCUGCGUUUUGAGGCCACGGAGAUCAGCCCCAGCCUCCUCGCCCCAGGUCCACACCCCACCCACCCCGCCUUGCGCCCUGGACUUUGGGAGGAAUGUUGAGAAAGUAACCAAGUACAAUGUGAAGUGUAUUAUUGUCAGGGGCAACCUUAGGGGAUACUGAUAAGGAAUUAGGAAGAUCAGAGCGUCAGAGUAAGCUUCAUACCAGUUUAAGUUGAGUAAAGCUCAUUGUUUACUAAGAGUGGGGCAAUGUACAGCUGUAACUUUAAUUCCAUAUGGAAUUGCAAAACCAGUAUAGCUUUGUAGCCCUUUGUUUGCUACUUCCACACUUGCAUUCUCUCUCUCUCUCUCUUUUUUUUUUUUUGGCUCGAUAAUAAACUUCAGUUAUGUUUAUUAAUAAGCGUAUUCCUUUUACUUUUGGUUUCGUAUUUCCCCCAGAGCCUUCGGAGAGGAAGUGAAGAACUCGCAGCUCCGGACCACGCAGUGAAGAAGGGGAGGUAGAGAAACAGUAGGUGCUCUUGGAGUCGCGGGAGAUUUCUCCUGUGCUUAAAGAACUGGGAGGAAAGGACCCACGAUGGUCGUGCAAAGCUCGCAAACUCCAGGAGCAGCACUAAGAGGGUGCAUCCGUGGGACGCCUGGAGGAAACGAGCACAGGUGAAGGCCAUUCUCAGAGGCCAAGGGAGGGUGGAGUGGCUACCACAGUCAGAUGCCUGCUCCCUGCAGCAGUUUCUAUCUACUGCCCAGCUCCCCUCUUGUGCUCUGAAGCAAGACGUUCAGGGGCCUGGACAGUGACUUAGUCCCUGCCAACCCAGGAACCGAGGAAAUCCACUAAACUCCCGGCAAACCUCACUUUGCUCAUCAGCAACGUUCCAAGCAAGGUUGACUGUGGUCUUUGCCCAGGUAUCUUACAUUUUGGCAACUGAUCUCAGGCUGCUAGCUAGGGAGAAGAGAAGCUCGCAGCUUUUCAUCAUCCUGCUUGUUGGGUCUGCAUCACUCAGGGCUUCUAAUUUCCAAGUCUUUAGUACCGCCCAGCUUCCAGCCAGUGUCUUUUAUUUGGAUCGGGGUAUGGCUGCUCCUGGGGCCAUGUGAAUCCCUGCGGUGGCCAUGAGGAGUCCUGAGGUCCUUCCUUUUGGAACUCUGCUCCUGGGAACUACUGCUUUUUUUUUUGGCCAGUGAAGAAAAAUGAUGUCUGAAACUUUCAAUUUCCCUGAGACCGACUGAACUUAAGAUUUCUUAUUUUGGACUACCCCAAUUCUGGGGUCUCGGGUCUAUGGUGCUUCCUGUGCUCGGGGGGUUGGUGCUGUCUCAGUCUCCUAUCGGAUUUGGAAGACUCACGAAGAUAACUAGAUUUGAAAGUCGCUUCUUUUGGUCAUUCUAAAUAUUCUAUUCUAUGCGUUAAAAGCCAUUAUUCCAAGAAAGUUGUACAGGCUUCAACAGGCCCCUAAAACGGGUCCCCACAGAAGAAAGGUUAGCUUGUAUGGGAGAGAAGAUGCAGUGGGGCCAGGCCUCGGCUCCGCCAUGCCUAGACAGCGAUGGAGAAGAUUAUCCAGAGGGAGGUUCAGAGGGAAGAGGGACAGGAUUGUGAGAAUUAAAAGAAAGGUGAUAAAGAUCCCACCUAUUCACUGUGCCUAUUCACUGGCGCCCGUAAAGACAGCUUGUCUCCCCACCUUUGCCCCUCAUGGUGGCCUCCCCAUUCUGGGAAGGCUAUCAUUUUCUACUGCACCUGCCCAGCCUAGGCCCAGUCCUCUCUAACAGGACCAGUGUUGGUUCCCUACAGGUCUCCUUUUGCCAGUGAUCUCUUUUGUGGUCCUAGCAGAGUCAGAAGUAUUGAAUUGUCCCCAGAGAAUAGGAUAUUCAGCCUGGGUAUUGUGAGACCAUCGUGCUGAAAGUAAACCCAGCAGUCCCAGGUCAUUUUUUAUUGUACUCAUUAAGAAACCAAAAACAAAAACCCUUGGUCCAGUUCAUUUGUAAAUGUGGAAAAUGAUCUUCAAGUUAUUUUGAAAUCAGUAACACAUGUGAUUAAACCCUCCUUUGAAAAGGCACUGACAAGAAUCAGUAGUUCGUGUGGAAAAGCCCCGUUUUAAAGGUGGUCUGCUAUAGCCUUCUGUUCACCUGCAGCUAUGACAUGGUUACUGCUCCCAGAUUAGUCUUCUUCCUUUAAACAACCAUAACAAUGACAAAAUAUGUGAGGCACCAGUUUACAGACGUUGGACAGAAGCAAGUGCAAGACUGUGAUCCCUGAGAGAUGGUUCAGAAGAAUUCCUGGUGGUGAUACAGCAAGCUGAAAUCCCAGCAGAGCAUGCUGUUCACAUGGGGAGGAAGAGAUCAGAGUUAGGACAGAUUAGAGCACCAGAAGGGAGAAAACUGUUUAGAGGUCAAUUUUCAGAAUUCCAUACGGGGUCCCUCUGCAGGUUAUUUGCUGAGUGCUGGGCUGCUCAUGUGCAAGAAGGUACUACCCAAGGCUUGCCAGAGGACAGAUGCUACAGGAUGGAGAACAGAACAGAGGUCCUAGAGGUCAUACCAGGCAAUGUUGGAAUUCAAGCUUUGUUAACAACUCUUUACCACUCUGAGCAUCCAGCUGAGACUCUCUCCAGAAAGACUGUACUUUACGAGCACAACCCAUACCCUAAUGUAAAAGGUCUACUGUUGACAGGCCCUAACAAAGCUGCAAACCAAGCCCUGAUAAGAGCUACAGGAGGGACAGUGUUUGGAGGUUGAGUUCCAACAAGUUAGAGGGCUUUGGUAAACACCUUGAGCUUUCCACAGAUUGGCCUUAAAGCCUAAAUCCAGUCCUACACAAGUUCAAGGUAAUCAGCCAGUAAUCAAAAUUGCCGCCAAAUCAAUUCCAACGCAUAGCGACCCUAUAUGACAGAGUAGAACUGCCCCAUAAGGUCUCCUAGAACAAAAAUUGAUACUCUGGAGAAAGAUAUCAGAAUACAUAUCAGAAUACACUACAGUGUAUCAUUCAAAGUGUCUAGUAAUUAAAAAAUACUAAACAUUCAAAGAAACAUGUGACCCAUAUGCAAAGGGAAAAAUAAGUCAACAGAAACCAACGCUUAACUCAAAGAUGUUCCAGAUGCUAGAUUUAGCAGACUUGAAACAGCUAUUGCACACACACACACAGAAAACGUGAUGUCAAUGAGUGAUCUGAUAGACAAUCUCAACGGAGCUGUGAAAACAAUCAAAAGAAACCAAAUGGAAAUUCUAGGACUGCCCAAAGGGCUCAUAAACAAAGUGGCCUUGCAGCAGGGAUAGAAAUUAUGCAUGGGCUCAGUGACAUGGGCUUCCACUCACCAAGGCUAAUCUAGCUACAGCCACUACUGAGUGCCCAAAACCAACAGUGGAAGACAAUUCUGAGUCCCUGAUAUGACACCUGUCUCCAGUGGAGGGGGGCGGGGGACAGGGGGCUAUGAGCCAGCCACAUGAUGGCGGGUUGAGCACACAGGAUCCAUGAUGGCUAAUGUUAUGUAUCAACUUGGUUAGUAUCAACUUGAUUCUCAGUGGUUUGGCAGACUUUGGACAUACUGCUUUUUCAUAAUGUAAUAUAGUGUAAUCACUUCCAUGAUGUGAUCUCAUGUGAUCAGCCAAUCAGUUGUAAGAGGACUUUUCUCAGAGGUGUGGCCUGUAUCCACUAUAUAUGGAUUUUCCCUCACAAAACUUAUCCAACUCCCCCCAGAUUGCCUGAUAAUAGGAGGUGGUCUUUCUAGCCUGGCCAGGGCCCAUCUGAGUCCCUUUAUUAGCAUAAACCUUCAGGUGGUGCUCUGGAGACCUAUAGUAAACAAAUCCAUUGUCCAUUCCAACUCAUAGUGACCCCAGAGGGCAGAGUAGAACUGCCCCAUAGAGUUUCCAAGGAGAGCCUGGUGGAUUCAAACUGCCACAAGGCCACCAGGGUUAACUAGUAAACAAAGGAAUCUCAAUUACUUAGCAAAUUCCCAGGGUUUAGAGUUAUCUCAAGGACCUCUGGUGGGGCAGGGGUUAAGUGCUGGGUUGCUAACCCAAAGGUCAGUAGUCAAUCCACCAGCCACUCCAAUGGAGAAAGUUGUGUCAAUCUGCUUCCACAAGGAUUUACAACCUUGGAAACUCUAUUGGGCCGGUCUACCCUGUACUACAUAAAUGUAUUUAUGAGUUGGAAUCGACUUGACAGCAAUGGUUUGUUUUUUGUUUUUGUUUUGGUGUUGGUUUUUCAUUUAGAGUUCUCUCUCAGAAAACAAGGACAAAGAUCAAAUUCCUUGAAUGAAGUUAAAUUCUUUACCCUACAGUAUACUAUGGAAAACACCUGCAAAUCAGUGAAUGAUAUAUUGAGAAAUUGGAAUGUAAUGCAGGUGGUCAAGCUCUUAGAAAACAGACUGUGGCUGUAUGAGUAUCGGACCUCUGUCUUGUAGCUUCAAGAGCAUGUGGUCAAUUUUGAGUUACAACAGAUGAAGUUAGUCCGAUUUGUCUAGGUGUGUAAAUGUUAAACAUGGUUAAUUGUUUUAUUGUAAAUCUGACAAAUAUUUGCUUGUUGUAAGAAAAGCUUACAAAAAAAAAAAGUGUAUUAGAAGAAAAUGAAAGUGAUCCUGCCUCCUGAACCCACUCCCCACAUAAACCACUGCUGACAUACCUUUAUAUAUUACACAUAGGAAGCUGUGGGGACUUUGGAGUAUAAUAGGUGGGGUUUGGCCAAGGGACCCAGGAAGUUCCAAGUCCUGUCCUGACAAUCAUCUGCCCUCCCUGGGAAUGAGAAGUGGGUGAAGGCAAAGAAAAGGAAAUAAAACUAUCGUUUGCAGAAAUUUCACCUUGGGACAGGAAAGUCUGGUAAAUAAGGCAGAGCUGGUGGUUUAUGACGGAGCUUAAAGAGCUGUGCUGUUGCCCUAAACCCAAAGUGAAUUUUACCUCAUUUCCUGAGGUGUGAAUGAAAUGAUUUUUUUUUUUUUUUUUUUUGCCAUGGAGUUCAACUGAAAGCAACCCUAUAUUACAGAGUAGAACUGCCCCCAUAGGGUUUCCAAGGAGCGGCUAGUGAAUUUGAACUUCCAACCUUUUGGGUUACCAGCCAAACUCUUAAACACUGGCCACCAGGGCUCCAAAUAAAAUGAUAGAAGUCAAUAAAAUAGAGAGGCAGAGAGGGACAAGACCGGUGAGUCCACUCACACAGGUCAACCAUACUCAGGUCCUGUCUGAGGAGGGCCAUGAGAUUAGUCCGUGGAAAAUAGGGAUGCUAAGUGAGUAUUUACACACCUCUGUUUUGUUGAGAUGUGUUGGAAUCGACUCAACGGCAAUGGGUUUGGUUUUUUGUUUUUUAUUGAGAUAGUCAUAUAUGUGAGUUGGAAUCAACUCAACAGCAGUGGCAUUGGGUUUGGUUUUUCAUUGAGAUACUCAUAGAUACAAGUCAAAAGGGACCCGACAGCAAUGGAUUUGAGGCUUGGCAUGGCAUGCAGUCAGCAGCUUCUGAGGGAGUUCCAUGGUGUAAUGGUGAGCACGCUGGACUCUGCAUCUGCAACCGAGUUCAAAUCUCAAUGGGACCUUAGUGUUUAAGACAAAUCAAUAAUGUUUUUUAAAAACUCUUUGAAGAGUGAAUGAAACUUGCUACGCCCCCUUCCGUGUCCCCCUCCUGAUGGUUAUUUAGGAGUGAGAAAGAUUUCAGGCUGGGAGCGAAAAAGCAGGAUGGGAACCCCAGGCUCCACGGAGCGAGAGCUGCUUCAGAUCCCCUCCUGCUCCCCGCGGCCUUCUGUGCCUCACAGCUGUGUCCCCUCCUCCGCUUGUCUCCGCCUCAGAAACUGAGCUUCCAGAAACCCUCAGAAAACAGCUGAGGAAGGAGGAGAGACAGGGAAGAACAGAGGGAGAAUAGGAAAGACAAAGGGAGAAAGUAGGGAAUGGCAGGCAGAGGAAAAGGUCGUUCACCGCAGCAGCGGUUUCUUCAGUUGCUGGAUGUGGGCCACCACAGCUCCUCCCUCAUGAACGUUCGCAUCCCUUCCUGUCCGACCCCAGAACCGGGUUCCACCGAUAAACCUCAAAGCUGCUUGCCUGGCAUUUGUUCUUGCAAAGUUUCCUUUCACUGUAUGGAGGGGUGAGGUGGGUUAAGUUGGUUGGCAAGUGAGUGGAAGCCAAGUGGAGCGCCUUGUGGGUUCCCUUGGUGUUGACUAGCAGGUGGUGCAUCCACCCACCCAAAGGCACACCGUUUUUCCCCUUGAGGGUUGUCUGCAGGGCCUGGAGUGGAAAACUGGAAAAUCAAGGUGCAACGAUGUUUCUUCAGAGUUACGGAGAGAAAUAGCCAGAUAGUUGAUUAUGUGAGUUGAAAGCGAUUAUCUCUGGAAAACAAGAAAUCAUGGGAAGGAAUCAGGGGAGUACUGUUUUUCAUAACAAAAAUAAAAGGGUCAGUGCAAAAGAGGAAGACCCUCAACAAGACGGAUUGACACAGUGGCUGCCACAAUGGACACAAGAAUAACAACAGUUGUGACGACGGUGCAUAACAUGCUGUUGUACAUAGGGUCGCUAUGAGUCCAAACUGACAACGACAACAAAUAAAAAUAAUUUAUCUUUUGGUAGAAUGUUUUUAAAGCUCAUCGUUUGUUAUUUGAAUGGAAAUUUCGAUGUAGUCAUAUGUAUCGCUCUAAAGAUGCUGGAGUUUGUCACAUUCUACAGUCCUUUCACUGUAAGAUUAUAAAAACUUUAUUGGGGACAAUUUGGAAGCAAACUACCAAUCAUCAUUCCCCUUUUCAUGAGCUGGGAAGAUGGACUAAUAAACUCAAAGAUCCUGCCACAUACAACUGUCUCAGUAGCUCAUGCUCUGAAGCAUCAACAACUGAGAGGACUGGACGUGAUCUAGUGUAAACAGUCCUGAGACCAAGGAAAUCCAUUAACCUCUGCAAAUCUCAGCUUCCUCAUCAGCAACUCGCUAAACCUUGCCUUCAGUGUUGGCUCAGAUAUAACUGGGCAAUAUUCCUUGCUAAGGAGAAGAGAAGCCCUCAGUUCUUACUCAUCAACGUAGCUCAGUCCAUAGGCCACACAAUUUCUCAUUUUAAGGUCCUGCACAUUGCCUAGUUUUCAUUGUAUCUACCCUUGAUGGACCUCUUUGGUAUCCAGUGGCUCCUCGGGUGGUACAGAUAGAUCCCUAUGUGCUGUCUCCACAGCGGCCACAAGGAGGGGGCUGGACCCUUCCCCUUGGAACUAUUGCUAUCUAUUCAAGUGUUUUUUUCUGUCUCUCCAGCUGCUCUGUUGGGAGGACUCCAAUUACAUGGAUAUUAGGCCACUUGAUGUUUUCUCACAGGUCAAUCAUGCUCUGUUGUUUUCAUUUUUAGUUCUCUUUUCCCUCUAGGUUUCAUUUUGGAUAAUUUAUGUUGCUAUGUCUCCUACAGUGUCCAAUUAACUGAUAAUAUCGGCCAGCGUAUUUUUCAAUUCUAGAAGUUCUGUUUGAGUCACAUAUAUAUAUGUAUAUACAUAUGUCUUUCAUAUCUCUCCUCAUCAAGCUCAUGCUUUCAUUCAUUUUUCUGAACAUAUGCAGUGUGUUUAUAAUAGCUGUUUUAAUAUUUUGUCUACCGAGUCUAUCAUCUUAAGUUAUGUCUGUGUCUGUUUCUAUUGAUUGGUUUUUCUCAUGGUUAUGAAUCAUAUUUUCCUGCACCAGGAAUCCACUUCUUUGCAUACCCAAUAAUUGUUAUUAGAUGUCAGCUAUUAUGAGUUUCAUGUUAAGUAUUUAAAAAUAUAUAUCCUUUAUAUAAUUCCUUAAAUAUUUUUGGAAUUUGCUCUGGGAUGCCGUUAAGUUGCUUGGAAACAGUUUGAUGCUCUCCAGGCUGGCUUUUAAGCUUUGGUAGGUUUGGAGGUGGGUUUAGAACAUCCUUAGUCUAAGGCUAAUGUGGACACAGUGUUGAGGUAUUACCCUCCUGAAGACUCUCCUUCAUGCCACGUGUAUUAGUUGCUCUUUCCAUUCAGGCUGGUGUGAGCGCACACUCAUAGGGGCUCAGUCUGAGCUCUGUCCUAUACUUCCUGUGGUUCAGUGCCUCCAAAGAGCUGUUUCACAUAUAUUUUGUCUUGUCUUCUAGUAGUUUAAGGUAGAAAAGUAAAUACCAUCUCUGUUACUCCAUCAUGGCCCAGAGAAGAAACCUGUACACUUCUGUUAGAGUUCACAAUUAAGGGGAAAAAAACUUAUCUUCAACGUUAUUUCAUAUCUUCCAUACCUAAUACGCGAACUGUGGUGGCGUAGCGGUUAAGUGCUAAGGCUCCUCACCAAAAGGUCUGCAGUUCAAAUCCACCAGGUGCUCCCUGGAAGCUUUAUGCGGCAGUCCUACUCUGUCCUAGGGGGUCGCUAUGAGUUGGAAUCAACUCGACGGCAAUAGGUUUGGCUUUUCCUGGGUAUACCUAAUAUGUGCCACACACUAUGCUCUGUGGAUUAUUAUAUCAUCCCGUUAACCUAUACAAUAACUCUACGAGACAGUUAAUACUAUUAUUUUCAAUAUGAGACUUGAAAAUUGAAGGAGCUGGCCAGAGGUCAAACAGAAGGCAAGUAGUGGUGCCAGGACUAGAAGGGAGGCCUUCCCAGAGGUAGUGCCCCUAGCUACAGAUCAGACCAAAGAUCUUUGUAAUAACCUUGGUAUAUCUGAUAUGCCUGGAAACCGUAUCCAAGGAGAUUCUAGCCACCGUGUGGAUAGACUCCUUUUGGUCAGAAACUCCUCCCUCAGGGAGCCAGAGCAUAGCUUAGCGCUUAAGCUCUGACUGACUAAAGCCCUUAAACUCUCUGCAAACCCAUGUUUUCUCAUUGCAAAGGCACUGAAAAUGAACUUCGGUCUUAAUUCACAUAUUUUAUAUUUGGGCAAGGGAACCUCCUGCUGCUGGGGAGGAAGUUCAGAGCUCUUCUUCACCGAGCUGUAUCAGUCUGUAGGAUGCACGGCUUGUAGUUUCAACGUCUUCAACACUCACCUUGGCAUCUUGCACGUUUUAGCUGGUUUUCUUUGUACCUGCCCUUGUCUUCUCCCCCUUCCCCUCCCCCCCAGCCCCCCCCCGCCCCGUAGCAUCUUCUGGGGCCUUGCAGAUCUCUGUGUGCUGUGCCCGCAGUAGCCACGAGGGGGCGCCAUAGUCCUCCGUGCCUUUUCCCAGUUUGGCUAGUGAAGAAGGAUUCGAGAUUAUUUCAAUUUACUAAGACCCUGUGGCUCAGAAGUGAGAGCAAGGUGAGAACACACCCCGGGAAGGGUUGGCAAAAUGCCCCCACCUGCCAGCACAAGACCUAGGGUUUUCUUCUAAAGUAUCGUUUGAUAUUCAGCAUUUUCACAUCAGGAAACAUCUGAAGUUAUUUCCGACGGUGAGAAGAUAAUGUUCUAAUUUAUUUAAAUUCCUGGAGGCCCUGGGUGGCAAAAAUAGUCAAACACUCGACUACCAGACCAAAGGUUGGCGUUGCAAAUCCACCCAGAGGCACCUCGGAAGACAGACCGGCAGUCUGCUUCUGAAGGACCACAGCUUUGAAAACCCUGUGGAGCAGUUCUACUCUGCACACAUGUGGUCGUGAUGAAUAGGAAUCGACUUGACAGCAACUAGCAACAACGACAUCUACAAUUUCCACCAUCAUUGAAAGAGAGGGCAUCUUAUAGGGAGUUCCUAAUUUUCCAAUCUCCUGAUGCGUGUCAGGUGCAAAUCUGAGGCAGAGAGAGAGCUCAUGCUGUCUGCCUACAAAGGAGGUACGAGAGGGCUUGAGCAAAGGGGUGGUGGAAGAGGAACCUGGAGCCAGAAAAAUAAAGAGGCUGCUUUUGAGGUGAGGGGUGCUGUAAAAAAAAGUGGGGACAGCGGUAUCAGCAUCAGCGUCUGUCAAAAUUCAAGGGGGUUUUGGGAAUGACCAGGAUCAGCCCAAAGCUCGUUUCCAUGAGGUGGCAGUCAGACAAACCUCUAUCCUCCAACCGUUUUACCAAUUCUGACAGCAGCCAUCCCUCCCGCAGCACUCUGUACUUCUCUUCUGGGUUCGAUGAUCCAUUCCAACGGCCACACAGAACUCACAGACCACACUUACAGUUUAGUGGUUUAUUAAGGAAGUAACAGGGUAUAACUCAGGAUCAGGAUCUGGAAGCACGUAAGCAAAGUCUCCCUUCUUCAGGGCAGGAUAUCUCUCUCAGCUCCUCUCAGCCAUUCGGGGCUUCUCUUGGCUCUGCUGUCUGUCACCACCGAUUCUGACACUGGACCCCUCCCGGGCCGGUCGCCAUCUUCAGCGGUAUACCCCUUGACCUGUGUUACACCUCUUUUAAGAGGUUCUUUACCUGUUCUCUCUCUCUCUCUCUCUCUCUCUGCUGUUUCUCUCUUCUUUCUUCCUGUCUGAAAGACCUCUGUGGGGUUAACUGUAUAUAUAUACAAGUUCCUCAUCAAUUUCAAGGCAUGGCCCUCCCACCGGGGCCAUGAAUUCAACAAGCCCCUCUCAGUAGGCCACAGACACUUCAUUUGCAUAGUAGACUACAGAUACUCUAUUUGCAUAGCCUAUAGUCAUUGUAUUUGCAUGGUACAUUGACCAAUCCUGCAAGGUGCAUACUAAUUACAGGGCAGGCUGCAUGCAGCUCAGGGCCAGACAAAAAGUAUCAAACCUCAAGUUGUUUACAGCUUACUCAGGAAAUGUCAAGCAACCUGAACAAAAGUAACAAACCCUGGGGGUAGAAAACUAGGGCAAAAGUUAACUCCUCAGGCCUUCGUGGGGGUGGGGGGUGGGGAGGAGGAAUCUCUCAAGCUCUUUUACCAAAGAACCAAGGCAACAGGUCACGUAAAGGAUCUCGUGUCACCACAGGUGUGUUGGCGUGUUAUCUGGAGAGAGCUGUCUGGCAAUAGAUGUAGGACUUGGGAGCAAGACCUCAAGCAGGGCAGCUGUCACCCAAGGAAAGAAGACUGAGGGAAGUUUAGGUAUUUAAAGGGCAUUUGAUGAAGUGUUGCCACCUGGUUUGUGAUACCAAUGCUCUUUCUCAUCUCUACAAAGAAGGCAUCAAAGUGGGCUUGAUGCGCUUGUUAUGCAUGGUGGGUAUGAAUAUGGAAUUAGAUACAUAAAUUUUUUUUUUUUUUUUAGUCAUAUUAAAAUACUCAUCCUUGUACCACCUAAAAUUAUCUCAAGUACUACCAGUGCUACCCAUACCACAUACAGGGAAACUGGCUAUUUAAAAGAAGAAAAAAAGAGAAAAAAAAAAGAGCCCCACCUGGGGGUACAAAGUUACUUGCUGUGAUGGACUCUCCUAAUGCGACCUCUCCGGCCAAGGGCACAAAAACCACUAAGUACCAAGGAAACGUAGCCCAUCGUAAUUCUUCCGAGAAGAAUUAGAGAGCUAGACGGAUCUCCAAAAACUAUUGCAGGCACCCUCUCUCUCAUUUACAGACAGAGAAGCUGGUUCUGAGUUGAGGUCCGUGACUUCCCCAAGGCAUGUGGCAAGGCUGGUGCUGAUGGAGCAAGUUCUUGGUCCCCCUGAGUCUGGGAAGAUGUUGCUAGGAUGCAGGUGGAUUCACUCAGGACAAGGCCCCAGCACAAGAGCCUACUGGUGGGACAUUUGAGACUGAGACCCAGGAUCUUAGGGCUGUAUAUUUUCAGAGCGAUCCUACCAGAAAGCCCAUUCUUAUACUCUCAGGUCAAUGAGGAAUUUCAAGUCUCUGUCCUUUUACUAAGAUUGAUGUUCCAGUCUCCAAACCCUGGGCACUUUUUUCUACCUUACACCUUUUUUCUUAGAUUUUUAAGCAGAUUUUGGCACCUGAAAUUCUCAGGAGUAAAGGGAUUACAGCUAAUUUCUUUCAACAUCGAUUGAAUUCACCUGACGUCUUCACGGGCUGGUUGGAAUCCACAUUCUUUCCUCCUUUUUUUUUUUGCUUCACUGUAAACUAUAACGCCACGGCAAUCUCAGUAUCAAUUUCUCUGUGGAAAAGAAUCUAGCUAAGCAAUCAAGAAAUGCACAUAAAUUGCAGGGAUUUAUUGUAAUAGAAUAGAAGUCUGACAAGCAAACAAAAUGCUUUGACUGUUCAGCAACUGACCACCAAUCUCUGGGUGUCUUCAUGUGACUUGAGGGUCUGAAAUUUAAGUCAACAGGAGCUGGAGCUUCUUGAAGCUGGAAAUCAUUUAUGAGGAGGAACAUGUCUUUGCUACUGAGGACUGUGGGUUCUGGGCAAACCUAAAAAUACAAACCCCAAAGUCAUUGACUGAGUCUGGAUUGAGAUAAUGGAUAAAGUCAGAGACCACAAUUAGUAGCUAAUGAAGAACUUUGAAAGAAAGGGAAAGCUGUAUGCAAAGGUACUCUCCACCUGUCAUCUCCUAUAGGUUCUGGUUCUUCUCUGCAUAGAGAAGAGUAUUUGAAUUCUUAGUGACACCUGGCCGUGGACCUCCACGCAGGGCCAGCCUCAUCAUGGGCACGUGACCUGUACAGUCACCGAGGGCCCCACACUCAGAAGGAUCCUCACGCUUGGUUUAAUGUUCUGCUGUCAUCAUCUUGGAAUUAUUUAUAAGUUUAUCUUUGAACUUGUGUUUUGUAAGUGAAAUUCAGUUAGACAAGGAAGCGGGCACGUGAGUAGAGGAAAUGCGCACAAUACAUCUAUCUGCCCCAGUUCCUCACUGGCUCAUUUACAUACAGCAAUCUUGAUAACCCCAUGAGCACAGAAUUAAGGUGCACCGACAAUGCAUGCAGGUUCAGCGAGACUGAAAGUCACUUCUAGGUGUCAAGCACAAGACAAGGCAGAGUCAAGGCAUGACAGAUUCAGACGGAAAAGAAAAAAAAAAAAAAGAUCCUUUUUUACAUUCAGAUAGUUUAUUACUUACACGGGCAGUGAAGGGAAAAGCUGUAAAAGGUGCCAGCUCCUCAUGGCCCUCUCCUAAGUCGACACUCAAAAAAGGUGGCCAGAUCACUGCAACAGAAGUAAUUGGAAGCUCUGUUGCUGAGGAGUCAAUGCCUCGCUGCAGCUGAGCAGUUUUAUGUCCUAUGGCUGUGCCCUAAGGAGGGCUAGGUGAAAAGUCCCACUCCUCACUGGAAGCAGGGAGGUGGACGGGAAAACUGUCUAGCGGCGGCCUCCCACAAGAAAGAGAGGCAGAUGAGAAAAGGGUCAAGCUCCUCACAAGACUGUCUGUCCUAUGUUCCUGGGCGGAGGACUUGGUGUCUUGGUCAUCUAGUGCUGCCGUAACAGAAAUACCCCAAGUGGAUGGCUUUAACAAAGAGAAGUUUAUUCUCUCACGGUCUCGUAGGUUUCAAGUCCAAAUUCAGGGUGUCACCUUCAGGGGACGGUUUUCUCUCUCUGUCGGCUCUGGACGAAGAUUCCUUCUCACCAAUCUUCCCCUGGGUGGGGAGCCUCUCAGGCGCAGGGACCCCAGGGUCCAAAGGACACGUUCUGCUCCUGCUGCUGCCUUCUUGGUGAUAUGAGGUCCCCAUUCUCUGCUUCUUUCCGUUUGCUUUUAUCUCUUUAUAUCUUCUCCCUCCCACACCCCAGGGAAACUCCCUUUACCUUGGAUCAGGGAUGUGACCUGGGUAAGGGUGGUGUUAAGAUCCCACCCUAAUCCUCUUUUGACAUAAAAUUACAAUCACAUAAUGGGGGACAAACACAGAAUACUGGGAAUCAUGGCCUAACCAAGCUGACACCUGUUUUGGGGUGGGGGGGGGGCGGGGGAGACACAAUUCAAUCCAUGACACUUGGGUUCUGGCCUAUGUGGACAUGUACAAGGUGGGCAGAACACCAUGGCAGAGCCGCUCCCCUCCCUCCAGGGGUGUGUCUAAAACUGAUGGGAGCACUAAGAGCCCUGGGGAGAAAUGCUGUCUUGUCAACUAGAACUUGUUUCAGGAUCUUCAGGCUGUGAAAACAGACAGGAUUUUUUUUACUGACAUUAAGAAGAACGUCAGCCACGGACUUCUCCCUCCCUCUAGUGUUAGGGAUUGAAUUGUGUCCCCCAAAGAGAUAUCUUGGAAGUUCUAACCCCUGUACCUGUGAACGUGACCUUUUUGGGGGUAAUAAGGUCUUUGUUUGAAGAUAAACCCACUGCGGUGGAGUCAGUUCCGACUCAUAGCGACUGUAUAGGACCAAGAAGAAAACUGCCCCAUAGGGUUUCCGAGGCUGUAAAAUCUUUUUUUUUUUUUUUUUAAUUGCUUUUUAGGUGAAAGUUUACCGCACAAAUUAGUUUCUCGUUCAAAAAUUUAUACCCAAAUUGUUUUGUGACAUUGGUUGCAAUCCUCACAACGUGUCAGCAUUCUCCCCCUUUCCCUUUAGGCCCCGGGUUCCCCGUGUCUUUUCCUCCAGGUUUCCUGUCCUUUCCUGCCUUCUCGUCUUUGCUCUGGGGCAGGUGUUGUCCAUUAGGUCUCCUAUACUUGAUUGAACUAAAGCUCAGUCCUCACAUAUGUUAUUGUUUGUUUUCUAGGCGUGUCUACUCCUUUUGUUGUUGUUUGUUCUUUUUUAAAAAAUUGUACUUUAGAUGAACGUUUACAGAGCAAACUAGCUUCUCCUUAAAAAAUUAAUACACAUAUUGUCUUGUGACAUUGGUUGCCAACCCCACAACACAUCAGUGCUCUCCCCUUCUCCACCGUGGGUUCUCCAUGACCAGCUUUCCUGUCCCCUCUUGCCUUCUUGUCCUUGACUUAGUGUUUCUCCAGUCUCUGUCAGACCAGUAAGUUUGGUCUUCUUUUUUCUGAGUCAGAAUGUUGUUCUACAUUUUUCUCCGGCUCUGUCUGGGACCCCCUGUUGUGAUUCCUGUCAGAGCAGGUGGUGGUGGUAGCCCGGCACCAUCUACUUGUGCUUGACUCAGGCUGUGGUACUUGUGAUCCCUUAGGCUUUUGGACUAACCUUUCCCUUGUGUCUUUGGUUUUCUCCAUCCUCAAGGCUGUAAAUCUUUACCAGAAGCCGACUGCCACUUCUUGCUCCCACUGUUUGAAGACAGUUACCAGUAAAAUAAUACCAGAGAAGGGUGAGUCCUAGUCCUAAUCCUUUCCAAGUGCUGUUUCAUAAAACAGAAGAGAUGCGCAGUGAGGGUCAGGCACAGAAGGAAGAUACCAUGUGAGCAAGAUCUCUCACAGACCAAGGAAGGCCAAGAAAUCGAACUCCCGGGCACCACCGACAAGGAAGGCUCUUUCCCCCAGGAGCCCACAGGUAGGAUAGCCCCGCCGACUCUCUAAAUUGGGACGGACUUCUCUUCUAGUCCCUAGAGCGCUGAGGUAAACAAACACGCGCUCUGAAAACCAGAAACUUAGCUGCACUUUCAUUGUAGCAGGCCUCCGUGAGAAACUUGGAGCAAUGCUACCAAUGACCCAGUAAAGAACCUCAGCCUUCUUUUGAGCGGGUCUCUCGGUAACUAAGGAGCAAAGUGGUUUUGUCACACAUGGGCAGAUUCCAACUAAGGAGCGCUUCGCGUUUUCGUCACACAUAAGUCAUACGUAAAGAGACUGCUCCAUCUGUGCUGAUGAGGCGCAAUUGGACAACUUGGCCAGAGACAAAAGCUGGAAAAAAAGGAAAACACGUAGCUCCGCGAAAUACCCAGUUGUUAAGAAACAAAUGCAGGAUGGAACCACAGCGGAUCUACCUUUGAAAAACAACAAAGAUCAGGGGAAAGCGCGAACGCAGUCCCCCACUACCACAAAUUAUGCAGUCGAGUUUCCCACAUUUGGGGAAAUCGCAGGGGUCAGCACAUCCGGAGUGCAAUGGAUAAGCCUCGCCCUGGGAAAACCACCUUCGUGAUCAUGGUAUCUCCCCUGCCAGGUAAGUAUGACUAGUUCCUCUGCCGCCCCCACGCAGCCUCGCACUCCUUACACUUUACGCAGACGGUCAUUUCGCUAGCCUCACUCCCGGACCCUCAGAGCCCUUCUACGCUCCUACAGCACACAAUUUCACGGACAGACCUGGACUCCUUCCCACACCACCAACAGUCGUAACGUCUUUAAGCAGCACACGCCGAUCCAGCAGCCACUGCGCUGCCACUAUCUACAUAAGACAGUGCCCCGUCAGUGACAUCACCGACCGCGCUCUUCCCGCCUACCCACGGCCCGCCCCCUCCCCGCGUUUUCCUCCUCCCGUCCCUCCCAGACGGCCAAUGAGCGGGCCGGCAGCCCGAGGAAGAAGUGACGUCUCCCUUCCCCCUCCCCAACGGCCACCGUUUACGCGGCGAGCGGAGCCGGGGGCUUGGCCCAGCCGCGUCUCUCCCGGACUGCGCGGCUUCUUCACCUCUCCUUCCCACACCUCUUGGGCGUUCGGCUGGAGCCUGUGCAACCUUCUCGGAAUAAUGAGUGGCUCUUAACACGUAGAAUAGAGCAGAAAUUGAUAUUAGCCCUGCCUCAAAAUCAUUUUUUUCCAUGGCAUAAAAGGUAUCCUUUUUUUUUCCGAAGGCACCUUAAGGAGACCAAGACAAGUGUGUUACCGAGAGAAUUUGCAGCCAUCCACGGAUCACAAAAAGAUGUUUAAACACGUUUUGUGUGGAAUACACCCGUGCAUGUAUGAACUGGAACCCUAGCAGCAGUACUUUUUGACUUACCCUCCUGUCGCUCAGGGACAUGGGUUACACUUUUCACAAUGUGUCAGCCUUCUCGUUAUUUCCUUUGUGAUGGUUCUGUUUCCAUCACUUCCCUGCCCCUCCUUACCUUCUCAUCAUCGGCCUGGGGUAAAUUUUGACCCGUUAGGUCUCAUUAUUUAGAGGAGCACGGUAGUCGCAGGUGAUAUUAUUUAUUUUAUGAGCCACUCUGUCUUUUGGCUGGUAAGGGAACACCAGGAGUGGUUUGAGAUCCAAGUAUAAGGGCUAUCCCAGGGCGAUAGUCUCAGGCGUUCCUCUAGUCUCUACCGGUCCAGUAAGUAUUGACUUUUUUUAGGAAUUUGAGUUUUGUUUUACGUUUUCGUUCCAUUCUAUCCUGGACCAUCUAUUAUAUCCCUGGUCAGAAUGGUCGGUAAUUGUAGCCGAGCACCAUCUCGGUAUUCUGCUCUCAAGGUAGAUGAGGCUGUGCUUCGCUUAGACUAUGAGUCCUGUAGACUAGUGUCUUCUUUGAGUCUUCGGUUUCCUUUUUCUCUUUUGCUCCUCUUUAUUUAUUCUUAAGAUAAAAAUCCCCUGGGACAACUUCUUGGCAUUUCGACCAAACGGAGUCAAAAAACCUGUCAUCACCCUACAGUGAAGCUCAAAGUUGGCAAAUUCCACUCACUCAGGGCUUUCUAUCUGCUUUUUAGGUCUCUGCUCUCAACUAGAGAUGACCAGAUUUACCUGAGAAAAUCAUCUCAUAUCAGUCACGGCUCUGACAGGAAACAGAAGCUACAUUCAAACUGAGUGAUUUAAAGGGAGUCUUAUGAAAAAAAGGGAAUAUUUAAUCCUGUGAGAAGUGCUGGCAGGAUUAAAAUAAUUCAGUAUAGGACAGUGAAGCAUCUCGGGUCUGGAAACAGUAGGAUGGCCAUUAACACCUCCAGGCCUGGGUGGGGGGGAGGAGGGAAGUUGGAGGAGUCUUUACUAGACCCUGGAAGACCCGGAGCCUUGGGGAGGAUCACAGGACAGGACUGUAGUCUCUGGAAGGGGAAUCAGCAAGUGACCGCCAGACCUAGCCCUGGCAGGUAGGGACCCCUAAAAAAAAAAAAAAAAUUGGGGGGGGAUUUAAAAAUACCAGGAAUUCUCUCUGUUCCUACCCAUUGAUUACCUUCCUCUACCUCCCCUUGGCUACAACCAACAGGAGCCAUGAGGGCAAGGAAAUCCAAGACUGCCUGUGGAGAUCAGAUUUAGUUGUUCCUUCCUUGCUCUUUCUGCUUUUUUUCCUUAGAAAUAUUUUUGACGUUGUUCCUACAACUCUACUCCCAUUAUUACGGUUUUAAUUUCCAAGGUAUUUUUUCGCUGAAUGCUCCUUUCUCUUUUUUUAUUUUUUCAUCACGCUUUCGGUGAACGUUUACAGCUCAAGUUAAUUCCUCAUACAAAGAUUUAUACACACAUUGUUAUGUGACACUAGUUGCCAUUCCCACAAUGUGACAGCACACUCCGCUCCUCCACCCCGGGUUUCCUGUAUCCAUUUAACCAGCCCCCUCGCUUUCUGAGUUCCCAUUCAGCCUCUGGACAGAAGCCACCCAUUCAGUCUCAUGUAUCUGCUUGAAUCAAGCAGCACACUCCUCAGGAGUAUCAUUUUACGAUUUAUAGUCCAGUUCUAAUGAAGCCACCGCCCAGGCUUCCCCUGCUCCUCCGCAGUUUCCUUCACUCCUCGUAGCCCGCCAAGCCCCAGUUUCUACCUGAGGCUUGGCCCGACCGCUCCACCGGCCAUAACCGCGGUUUGAAUUUGGCGCCAAAAUCCGGAGCAUGCGCAAACCAAGAGCAGCAGUGGCUCCAAACGUGACUCCGGACCUGAACUUCCCUGGAAAGGAAGAUGUUCUCCUGCACACAGCUGCACCUGAGCCAAUUUGCAAAGCGAAAGUUUCUUUCCCUUACAGACUUGACUCAGAACCUGGAUCUCCAAAUGUGGACAUGGGAGGGAUGGGGUGUUGGAUUUUGUGCGUCAGUCCUGCCCCCCUGGGGACUGGAGGGCAUAAAAGCUCCAAGCUCCCCUGGGGCUGGGAGUGCUGUGCUUUUUUCCGCUGCUAGGCCCCACGAGCCUUGCUCCUUGUUUUCGCAGACAAUAAGUUUCCACUUUCUGUUUCCCUUGCAGCUGGUGGUGUGGUAUCCGCUUUAUCUCAAUCAGCUAAUAGGACAGGACAAGAACCCUCGUUUGAUUACGCCAAGAGUUAGCCUCAGGAAUGGCUCCAGUUCUGGGCUAACAGAGCUUCCGGGGCAUGUCCUCGAAGGUGCCUCCAGUCUCGGUCAGACCAUCGAGUCUGGUCUUUUGAAGUGAAUCUGAGUUCUGCGCCACACUUUUCUCCGGCUCCCUCAGGGACUCUCUGUUGUGUUCCCUGUCAGGGCGGUCAUUGGUGGUAGCCGGGCACCAUCUAGUUCUUCUGGUCUUAAGCUGAUGGAGUCUCUGGUUUAUGUGGCCCUUUGGUCUCUCGGGCUAAUAUUUUCCUUGCGUCUUUGGUGUUCUUCAUUCUGCUUUGUUCCAGGUGGGAUGGGACAAAUUGGUGCAUCUUAGAUGGCCCCCCCACAAGCUUUUAAGACCCCAGAUGCCACACGCCAAAGUGCAGAACAUUUUCUUAAUAAACUUUGUUAUGCCAGUUGACCCUAGAUGUCCCCCAAAACCAUGGUCCCCAGCCCCCAGCCCCUGCUAUUCUGUCCCUCAAAAUGUUUGGUUGUGUUCAGGAAACUUCUUAGCUUUUCUUUGCUCCAGUUGUGCUGACUUCCCCUGUAUUGUGUGUUGUCCUUCUCUUCACCUCGGAUAGUUUUUGUCUACUAUCUAGUUAGUGAAUUCCUGUCUCCCUUCCUCCCCACAUUCGUAGCCAUCAAAGAAUGUCUUCUUCUGUGUUUAAACCUUUUCCUGAGUUCUUAUAAUUGUGGUCUCACGCAAUAUUUCUCCUUUCGUGAUUAAUUUCACUCAGCAUAAUGCCUUCCCAAUUCAUUCACGUUGUGAGAUGUUUCUCAGAUUCCUCAUUGCUCUUUAUUGUUGCGUAGUAUUCCACUGUGUGUAUAUACCAUAAUUUGUUUAUCCAUUCAUCUGUUGAUGGGCAACUGGAUUGGUUCCCUCUUUUUGCUGUUGUGAACAGUGCUGCAAUGAACCCACCACCCAGUGCCGUCAAGUUGCAUGGAUGUGCAUAUAUCUAUUCAUGUGACAGCUCUUAUUUCUGCAGGAUGUAUUCCAAGGAGUGGGAUUGCUGGAUCGUAUGGUACUUCUAUUUCUAGCUUUUUAAGUAAGCGCCAUACUGAUUUCCAAAUUGGUUGUACCAUUUUACUUCCCACCAGCAGCGUAUAAGUGUCCUAGUCUCUCCACAACCUCUCCUACAUUUAUUAUUUUGUGUUUUUUGGAUUAGUGCUAGCCUUGUUGGGGAGAGAUGGUAUCUCAUUGCAGUUUUCAUUUGCAUUUCUCAAAAAAAAAAAUUUUUUUUUUAAGGGCUAAUGAUCGUGAGCAUUUCCUCAUGUAUCUGUUAGCCGCCUGAAUGUCUUCUUUGGUGAAGUGUCUGUUCAUAUCCUUUGCCCAUUUUUUAAUUGGGUUAUUUGUCUUUUUGUUGUUGAGGUUUUGCAGUGUCUUGUAGAUUUUAGAGAUUAGACCCUGAUCGGAUAUGUCAUAAAAAAAAAAAAAAUGUCAUAGCCAAAAAAUUUUUCCCAGUCUGUAGGCUGGCUUCUUGCUCUUUUGGUGGUGUCUUUUGAUGAGCAUAAGCGUUUGAUUUUUAGGAGCUGCCAGUUAUCUAGUUUCUCUUCUGGUGUUUAUGCAUUGUUAGUUAUGAUUUGUAUUCUGUUUAUGCCAUGCAUUAGAGCUCCUAGCUCCUAGUCGCUAUUUGUUCUUCCAUGAUCUUUGUCGUUCUAGAUUUUAUAUUUAGGCCUUUGGUCCAUUUUGAGUUAGUUUUUGUACAUGGAUACCUUGUUUCAUUUUUUUUUGCAGAUGGACAUCCAGGUCUUGUUUAAUUUUGUCCCAGAUGGAUGUCCAGGUCUUGUUUCCUUUUUUUGCAGAUGGAUAUCCAGGAAUGCCGGCAGCAUUUGUUAAACACACUGUCUUUUCCCCAUGUUACAUGUUGACUCCCUUUAAAUCACUCAGUUUGAAUGUAGCUUCUGUUUCCUGUCAGAGCCGUGACUGAUAUGAGAUGAUUUUCUCAGGUAAAUCUGGUCAUCUCUAGUUGAGAGCAGAGACCUAAAAAGCAGAUAGAAAGCCCUGAGUGAGUGGAAUUUGCCAACUUUGAGCUUCACUGUAGGGUGAUGACAGGUUUUUUGACUCCGUUUGGUCGAAAUGCCAAGAAGUUGUCCCAGGGGAUUUUUAUCUUAAGAAUAAAUAAAGAGGAGCAAAAGAGAAAAAGGAAACCGAAGACUCAAAGAAGACACUAGUCUACAGGACUCAUAGUCUAAGCGAAGCACAGCCUCAUCUACCUUGAGAGCAGAAUACCGAGAUGGUGCUCGGCUACAAUUACCGACCAUUCUGACCAGGGAUAUAAUAGAUGGUCCAGGAUAGAAUGGAACGAAAACGUAAAACAAAACUCAAAUUCCUAAAAAAAGUCAAUACUUACUGGACCGGUAGAGACUAGAGGAACGCCUGAGACUAUCGCCCUGGGAUAGCCCUUAUACUUGGAUCUCAAACCACUCCUGGUGUUCCCUUACCAGCCAAAAGACAGAGUGGCUCAUAAAAUAAAUAAUAUCACCUGCGACUACCGUGCUCCUCUAAAUAAUGAGACCUAACGGGUCAAAAUUUACCCCAGGCCGAUGAUGAGAAGGUAAGGAGGGGCAGGGAAGUGAUGGAAACAGAACCAUCACAAAGGAAAUAACGAGAAGGCUGACACAUUGUGAAAAGUGUAACCCAUGUCCCUGAGCGACAGGAGGGUAAGUCAAAAAGUACUGCUGCUAGGGUUCCAGUUCAUACAUGCACGGGUGUAUUCCACACAAAACGUGUUUAAACAUCUUUUUGUGAUCCGUGGAUGGCUGCAAAUUCUCUCGGUAACACACUUGUCUUGGUCUCCUUAAGGUGCCUUCGGAAAAAAAAAGGAUACCUUUUAUGCCAUGGAAAAAAAUGAUUUUGAGGCAGGGCUAAUAUCAAUUUCUGCUCUAUUCUACGUGUUAAGAGCCACUCAUUAUUCCGAGAAGGUUGCACAGGCUCCAGCCGAACGCCCAAGAGGUGUGGGAAGGAGAGGUGAAGAAGCCGCGCAGUCCGGGAGAGACGCGGCUGGGCCAAGCCCCCGGCUCCGCUCGCCGCGUAAACGGUGGCCGUUGGGGAGGGGGAAGGGAGACGUCACUUCUUCCUCGGGCUGCCGGCCCGCUCAUUGGCCGUCUGGGAGGGACGGGAGGAGGAAAACGCGGGGAGGGGGCGGGCCGUGGGUAGGCGGGAAGAGCGCGGUCGGUGAUGUCACUGACGGGGCACUGUCUUAUGUAGAUAGUGGCAGCGCAGUGGCUGCUGGAUCGGCGUGUGCUGCUUAAAGACGUUACGACUGUUGGUGGUGUGGGAAGGAGUCCAGGUCUGUCCGUGAAAUUGUGUGCUGUAGGAGCGUAGAAGGGCUCUGAGGGUCCGGGAGUGAGGCUAGCGAAAUGACCGUCUGCGUAAAGUGUAAGGAGUGCGAGGCUGCGUGGGGGCGGCAGAGGAACUAGUCAUACUUACCUGGCAGGGGAGAUACCAUGAUCACGAAGGUGGUUUUCCCAGGGCGAGGCUUAUCCAUUGCACUCCGGAUGUGCUGACCCCUGCGAUUUCCCCAAAUGUGGGAAACUCGACUGCAUAAUUUGUGGUAGUGGGGGACUGCGUUCGCGCUUUCCCCUGA